CCGACCUUAGCUCAGUUGGUAGAGCGGAGGACUGUAGAUCCUUAGGUCGCCGGUUCGAAUCCGGCAGGUCGGA
rnacentral:tRNA from 1 species